rnacentral:rRNA from 1 species
UACAGAGGGUGCGAGCGUUGUUCGGAAUUAUUGGGCGUAAAGGGCGCGUAGGCGGUGCGGUAAGUCACCUGUGAAAUCUCCUGGCUCAACUGGGAGCUUGCAGGCGAAACUGCCGUGCUGGAGUGUGGGAGAGGUGCGUGGAAUUCCCGGUGUAGCGGUGAAAUGCGCAGAUAUCAGGAGGAACACCAGUGGCGAAGGCGGUGCUCUGGGCCGGAACUGACGCUGAGGAGCGAAAGCGUGGGGAGCAAACAGG